GUGGGGAAUAUUGGACAAUGGGCGAAAGCCUGAUCCAGCCAUGCCGCGUGUGUGAAGAAGGUCUUCGGAUUGUAAAGCACUUUAAGUUGGGAGGAAGGGCAGUAAGUUAAUACCUUGCUGUUUUGACGUUACCAACAGAAUAAGCACCGGCUAACUUCGUGCCAGCAGCCGCGGUAAUACGAAGGGUGCAAGCGUUAAUCGGAAUUACUGGGCGUAAAGCGCGCGUAGGUGGUUCAGCAAGUUGAAGGUGAAAUCCCCGGGCUCAACCUGGGAACUGCCUCCAAAACUACUGAGCUGGAGUACGGUAGAGGGGAGUGGAAUUUCCUGUGUAGCGGUGAAAUGCGUAGAUAUAGGAAGGAACACCAGUGGCGAAGGCGACUACCUGGACUGAUACUGACACUGAGGUGCGAAAGCGUGGGGAGCAAACAGGAUUAGAUACCCCUGUAGUCC
rnacentral:rRNA from 1 species